UACAGAGGUCUCAAGCGUUGUUCGGAUUCAUUGGGCGUAAAGGGUGCGUAGGCGGCGCGGUAAGUCGGAUGUGAAAUCUCGGAGCUUAACUUCGAAACUGCAUUCGAUACUGCCGUGCUUGAGGACUGGAGAGGAGACUGGAAUUUACGGUGUAGCGGUGAAAUGCGUAGAUAUCGUGAGGAAGACCAGUGGCGAAGGCGGGUCUCUGGGCCAUAACUGACGCUGAGAAGCGAAAGCAUGGGGAGCGAACAGG
rnacentral:rRNA from 1 species